GUUGAACGCUGGCGGCGUGCCUAAUACAUGCAAGUCGAGCGAACAGACGAGGAGCUUGCUCCUCUGACGUUAGCGGCGGACGGGUGAGUAACACGUGGAUAACCUACCUAUAAGACUGGGAUAACUUCGGGAAACCGGAGCUAAUACCGGAUAAUAUAUUGAACCGCAUGGUUCAAUGGUGAAAGACGGUUUUGCUGUCACUUAUAGAUGGAUCCGCGCCGCAUUAGCUAGUUGGUAAGGUAACGGCUUACCAAGGCAACGAUGCGUAGCCGACCUGAGAGGGUGAUCGGCCACACUGGAACUGAGACACGGUCCAGACUCCUACGGGAGGCAGCAGUAGGGAAUCUUCCGCAAUGGGCGAAAGCCUGACGGAGCAACGCCGCGUGAGUGAUGAAGGUCUUCGGAUCGUAAAACUCUGUUAUUAGGGAAGAACAAAUGUGUAAGUAACUAUGCACGUCUUGACGGUACCUAAUCAGAAAGCCACGGCUAACUACGUG
rnacentral:rRNA from 1 species